AACGAACGCUGGCGGCAGGCCUAACACAUGCAAGUCGAACGAGACCUUCGGGUCUAGUGGCGCACGGGUGCGUAACGCGUGGGAACCUGCCCUUAGGUUCGGAAUAACUCCCCGAAAGGGGUGCUAAUACCGGAUAAUGUCUUCGGACCAAAGAUUUAUCGCCUUUGGAUGGGCCCGCGUUGGAUUAGCUAGUUGGUAGGGUAAAAGCCUACCAAGGCGACGAUCCAUAGCUGGUCUGAGAGGAUGAUCAGCCACACUGGGACUGAGACACGGCCCAGACUCCUACGGGAGGCAGCAGUGGGGAAUAUUGGACAAUGGGCGAAAGCCUGAUCCAGCAAUGCCGCGUGAGUGAUGAAGGCCUUAGGGUUGUAAAGCUCUUUUACCCGGGAUGAUAAUGACAGUACCGGGAGAAUAAGCUCCGGCUAACUCCGU
rnacentral:rRNA from 1 species